GAGAGAGAGAUCGGUAUAGGUAUAGAUAUAGAUAUAUUGCCAAUAGCACAAACAGCAUAUGUGGGAUGAGUGAAUGACAUCAGUGUGGCAUGGAGGAGAAUGAAAUUGAUGGACAUGUGUUCAUACACAGGUAGAAAAUACCUUCUAGUAUUUGAGUAAAUUACUGUGUAGCUUCUUCUGCUUUUAAAUAUAGAUGCUUCAGAAAAUUCGAUGCUGAUCAAAACAAAAUACAUCCUAUGGAUAUUUAUGGGAGAUUAUAAAAAAAAGUUUGCAUGUUAUAACAAUAUAUUUGUGUAGGUCUUAUUUAUAACUAAGGAAAAAUGUGGUAACUAUUUAUAUAAAAUAAAUGUUAAUAGAAUUUAUUAUACUGACACCUCUUCCUCGACAUAAAGGACUAGUGAUAGAACAAAAGUAUUAAAAAGCUGACCACCCAUCCAUUAUGUGUAUGUAUAAAACUUGUCUAGAAAACACGUACGAUUGUGUGUUGUCAUAAGAAGUAUAGAGAGAUGUUAUGUGCAACUACUGAGAGAACACUCUUAAUCAGUGACAAAAAUUCAUGAUUAUGGAAUAGACUUUUUAAAAAUAAAUAUUUAUAAGCCUUGAAAGUCCUCCAAAGAAGACUAAUUAAGUUGCAAAUAGGAAUGAUUUGAUAUAUUGUGACAUAUACACUUAACAAAAUAUAUCCUGAUCUCUUAUUUACAUAAUAAUCAUAGUAGCUCAUUUGAGGAAAAACUUAAUCAUGCUCUAUAAGAUUUUUUUAAUUCUAUGUACCUUAGUUCUGAUAAGAUACAUGUUUACAUAAAAUAUUUUUCUCCUCCUCACCUCUUUUCCUCCUUUCUCAUCCUCCAUUUUAUAACCAAAUAUUUCAAAUGUGACAGGAGUGUUAAAAUUGAUGUGUUUUAAUUUGUAACUGUACCAAAUAAAUAACUAUUGAAGUUUUUUUAAAGUUAUUCCCUCUAAAACUGAGGGAGAUUUUCUUGUCCAUCACCCUAUGGCACAUUUCUCAGCAGCUGUCUUUCUGAAAGACUUUUAAUUAAGUAAAAACUGGAUUUAUAUGGAAUUAACAAUUUCAUUCCACAAAUUAAAAGUAACGUUGUCAAGUACUGUAUUGCAUGCCCUUUCAACAGAUUCUUUUAUUUUUUUAGAAACUACACUUGAAUAACAUACAGAAGAAUUUUACACUACAUAGUAAAAACCCAUCAUGGAUAUAGUUUAUUAUCUGGUAGUUAAUAAAAUUAGGUUUGCCUCAAAUAGUAUUUUUGUCAUUUGUUUUAAAAAAUAAACUCCACCAGAGACAUUACUUCAGUGUCUACUGACUCACAGGUAUAAGAGUGGGCACCUGGAUUCUACCUCUUCUAUAUCUUCAUGUUAUGUAAGUGGAAGAAAUUGUUUAAUGCACAUUUGAUACAGGAAAUUGACACUUUACAUACACCUAAAAUUUAGGUUAAGAUGCUGACUGGAGUGGUUAAAGGCACUAUAAUGCUAGAGAGACUAUAUGUUCAAUUCAAACUUUAUCCCCUUUUCUCUUUUUUAAAAAGCAUGUACUUAAGUGCUGCGAGGUAUUAUUUGGUUUUUGAAAAACCACAUUUAGCGACAUAUUCAUAGGACUGUGUUGAUUAUUCAAAUAAGAUUGUUGUAGCAACAGAGGCAGUAUCAUCGGAGAAAGCUCAUUUUUAUAUUAAAAUCUAUUUGUUGUUUGGAAGUUUACAAGGUGACUGACUUGUUCAAACUAGUUAUUCUGUCUGUAACUUAAGCACCCAUCCCUUCACAAGAGCAGCGUGAAAUUUGUCAUAAAAAUAAAGGUGCCUAAAUAGUAAAAAAUUUUCCAAGUUUAUGUUUGGACAUUUUAAGACAGCAAUACCCAAAUCAACUAGAAUGGCAUUUUUGAUUUUUCAUUAUUUUGCAGUUAGAAUUCUUUAAAUUCAUUCAUCAGCUGUGCAUUUUUUCUAUAUAUUUCUUGGCACUUAAGACUAUUGAAGUCCACUUUCUCAAAAUUUAUCAUUCUCAAAUAAAAACUUAAGGUUAUAAAAUGUGCUUAAACAUCCUGUUGAAUAGUUUUUUACUACUAACAAUACAGAAAUAAGAUGUGACUUUAUAAAAGAGAAUGAGUAAAACUUCCUUUUAAAAUCAAACAAGAACAACAACAAAUAUAUGGUCGAUGUACUGUUUUAUAGUAUAGUGAAGACUAUUGGCUAUCUAAGAAAUACCAAACUUUUAAUCUGGGACAAUUGGAAGAAAGUAUGAGUAUUUAAUGUGUUCAUCAUAUUACAAGAUUCUUAACCUGUAGAACCACUCCACAUAUGUAUGUGAUUUGCUAGAAUUAAACAACUCAACAUAAACCUGUCAGGAGGAGGCUACAGGGAUAUAUGCAUUAAUACUUCAUACUUCUCUCAUUCCAAAAUAGAAGGAAUCUGCUCUUAUUCCCAAUUUUCUAUCCUAGUUCCUUUUAUGGUGUUGUGAAGUAUGGUAGACCAAAAGCAACUUCGAGAAGACAAUGUUGAUUUGGUUUACAUAGUCCAUCAUCAAAGAAACUGCGGCAGGAACUAAUGGAAGCAGCUUGAAGCAGAAACCUCGGAAGAAUGCUACUCACUGGCUUGUUCUCUCUGGAAAGCUCAGCUAGCACUUUUUAUAUAUUCCAGGUCUACCUGUUUAGCUCAGUACCAGAUUGAUGUAGUGCAGAAUUCUAUCAGACCUUCGAAGAAGAUCUAAUACCAAUACUCUUCAAAAUAUUACACAAAAAUAGAAACAGAAGGAACACUACCCAAUUCAUUUUAUGAAGCCAAAAUUACACUGUGUCUUUUCCCUUGGAAAUGGAAUGGUUUCCAUCUAAUCAGAUAAUUUUAGCAGCCUGACUCCAGAGGGGAAAAGAAAUCUUGUGCAUCCACACUGGUGCCUCUGCUUCACCACAAGUGCCUAGGAACUCUAUUCUCUCCAGGACCCUCUGCCAGCCUCACAUUCAUUUAUACAAAGGAGAAUUUAAUAUUUAUGAUCUGGAAGUUGUGAUCCUCCCUUCUCUAAAUCCUAAUUGCUGAGAUUAUGGACCUGUCUUUUGUGGUACUGGAUCAAACCCAGAUUUCUGGGCAACUAAUCUUUGUAUGGUAGACAAUUAUUCAACCAAUGGAGUCACGUCUCCAGCCAUUCAUUUAGACGUCAAAAUUUUAACAUGAAAAAUACUUACAAUAUGAAGUAUUUAAACAAAAAUAGAGAUUCUAAAUCACUCUGGUACCUAAGGCUCAGGGAACCCGGAGGAAAAAAGGCUUAAAAUAACGUAAGAGCUGGAGGAUGGAGGUGAAUAUCUUGAAUGAUGUCUUCUGGACAAGGUAUGGAUGUUAUCCUCACAAACUCACACAGAUAUCUUCAGGAGAUCUGCACAGAAGUAAGACAUUCCAGCAUGCAGUACUAAUUGGAAUCAGAGUGUUACAAAAUAAAAUAAAAUAGAAUAAAAUGAAAUGAAAUGAAAUGAAAUGAAAUGAAAUGAAAUGAAAUAUGUUACAAGUUGAUUGUGUUGGGAAAUGUCCUAGGGUGGGUAUGAGGUGGAUAUAACCGAGGUGUUUUAUAGAGCUGAAAAAGAUUCAGAGAAGGUAUUUAUAAAAAUAAAGCCAUUGAUUUAUCUUUGAUUUACUUCUUGGUUCACUUUCAAAUGACCAGUUCUUUUACUUGUUUUGUGAUUACUCCCAUUCCCUUUUGAGUUCUGUAUAAUUUACUUUAUGAACAACUUACUCAGUUAAAUAAUAAAAACUGGCCAAAGGCAAAGAAUAAAAACAGUUUUUACUUUUAGUUGGCAGUACCUAAUAUAAAGGACAAUUAUACAGCUUUAAAAGACAGGAUAGCUUAUUUUAUGGCUUCAAAAAUUCCAUGAAAAUGACAUAUUCCUUUCCCAUUGGAAUCAAAUAGAAUAAAAAUGUUUGUUCCAUUUUAGUGAUAAGUUUGGGAUUGAAAUGUUAAAGGUUGAAAUAACAGGUGUUUUAAAUCAUUUUACAUACAUGCUCAUUAUUAUAAAUGUUAUUUUUCUGAUACCCCAUUCAAUAUAGGCAAGCAUAUUUUCUUUGUUCUUUUCCUUUCUUUCUUUACUUUUUUUUUUGCCACAGUCUCAUACUAUCUCAUUUUAUUCCCACUGUAUAAUCAUUGUGUAACUCAUCCUCCUGCUUUAGCCUUUGAAAUAUUGGGAUUAUUGACAUCUGCCUGGAUACACAGUCUUUUUUUAUUUUUUUUCUGAG